rnacentral:rRNA from 1 species
CCUACGGGGGGCUGCAGUGGGGAAUAUUGGACAAUGGGCGCAAGCCUGAUCCAGCAAUGCCGCGUGUGUGAAGAAGGCCUUCGGGUUGUAAAGCACUUUUAUCAGGAGCGAAAUACUACCGGCUAAUACCCGGUGGGGCUGACGGUACCUGAGGAAUAAGCACCGGCUAACUUCGUGCCAGCAGCCGCGGUAAUACGAAGGGUGCAAGCGUUAAUCGGAAUGAGUGGAGGUGAAGCGUGAGUACGCGGUUGAAAUCCCCGGGCUCAAGCUGGGAAUGGCAGUGGAUACUGGCAAGCUAGAGUGUGUCAGAGGAUGGUGGAAUUCCCGGUGUAGCGGUGAAAUGCGUAGAGAUCGGGAGGAACAUCAGUGGCGAAGGCGGCCAUCUGGGACAACACUGACGCUGAGGCACGAAAGCGUGGGGAGCAAACAGGAUUAGAUACCCCGGUAGUC